AGAAGAAGAGAUUUGGUGGGAAAGUUAAAUGUGUUUGGCAACUAAUGGCUCCAGUCUUUACACCCUUGUUGGAGAUUAAGGGUUUGCUUGUACAGGAUUUGGUCUGGGUGUAUCUCCAAACUUAUUCCAAAUCAUUAUUAUCACUUUUUAUAUUUAAACGACAUGUUGGUUUUGUGAGCCAAGAACCAACUUCACGUGGCUUUGAGGAACUUUGCUACAGUCAUCUGGUAUCCUGCUGCGAGUCUGGAUGGGAACUAACCUUGAACUGGAUUACUGAUGAAUUGCAUCAUCUGAUAUAGGCAUGGAAUGUACAUUCUGAGAACUGGUGAGAUGGUUUCAGUUUACCUGCUUAAAGUUCAUUGCAGAGGGACUUGUUUGUUUCUGAUAUAUAUGGUAAAUUUUGGUUGUUUGGUUUGUCUCUCCAUUAUUCAAAUGAUAUGGCUCGGUUUAUAGUUCAGAUUGGUUGUGGGAGUAUGUUUGUUGGAUGUCUCAAAAUAAUUCUACAAAGGUAAAAUGCCAUUUGUUUCAAACUAAA